AUAAUUGUAGCCUUCGGUU
rnacentral:miRNA from 1 species